GCGCGAGUGGCGAAAUUGGUAUACGCGCUGGAUUUAGGUUCCAGUGUCUUCGGACGUGCGGGUUCAAGUCCCGCCUCGCGCACCA
rnacentral:tRNA from 1 species